rnacentral:rRNA from 1 species
GGCCAGCAGCCGCGGUAAUACGUAGGGGGCGAGCGUUGUCCGAAUUCACUGGGCGUAAAGCGCGCGUAGGCGGGCUAUUAAGUUAGAGGUGAAAUCCCGGAGCUCAACUCCGGAACUGCCCCUAAAACUGGUAGCCUUGAGGUAUGGAGAGGGAAGUGGAAUUCCUGGUGUAGCGGUGAAAUGCGUAGAUAUCAGGAGGAACACCCGUGGCGAAGGCGGCUUCCUGGCCAUAUCCUGACGCUGAGGUGCGAAAGCUAGGGGAGCGAACGGGAUUAGAUACCCCGGUAGUCCUAGCCGUAAACGAUGGAUACUAGGUGUUAGAGGUAUCGACCCCUCUAGUGCCGAAGCUAACGCAUUAAGUAUCCCGCCUGGGGAGUACGGCCGCAAGGCUGAAACUCAAAGGAAUUGACGGGGGCCCGCACAAGC